CGGAUCAUAAGCCCCGUUCAGUUGGUCUUAACUUGACCAUGUGAAUGACUGUGUAUAUCGGCCAAACUCACUUCAGACAUUAUAGAACCCAUUAGGCUCCACACCGGUCUCAGCCCGUCGAACCCCGAAAGGUCCAACCGGAUUCAAUCGUUCUGAAGUUUAACCCGUUUCCGAGCCCGCAUCUCUGCGGCUAAUUAGCCCGGGGACUUUCCUGAGUCCGAAUCCAUUUACAUGGACCCAUAACCCAAUCACAUCGUCCGUUGGUCGACAUUACCUUCGUAACCCAGGACUUAUAUUCACAACUAUGGUCUUAUUUCUUGACGAUGUGGGAUUGAAAAUCGAGUUCGCUCCCGAUUGAUUGGCGUGGUGCCGGAGUUUGAUCUCCGUGAUUUAGCUCUGCUACCCUACUUAGCAGUUGGAGCAGUAAUGUGCUAUUUUGUCUAGAUUGUUCCAGAUCACCUCCAUCGCUUACUUAGACUUAGAGCAGCAAAAUGGGUAAUAGGGAGGCUUUCGUCUCAGCUUCUUUCGUGAACCAAGCACAGGAAAUAGGUAUUGAUGAGACGGAAUAGGACUGGAUUAGAUCGGAUGGGAGAAAGUGAGGUAGACGGUGAUUUUUUUUUUGCAAAAUUUAGGGUUUUAAUCUGACUUUAAGUAGUUUAAUAAGUUAAAAUCUUGUCGGAUCUUCCUAUUUUUGUUGCACCGGUUUUGAAGUUCGUCUAACUCAACCUUGUCUGUCGCACUAAACGUUGAACUAUACGUUUUAACAUGUCCUGACUCGUGUACCGAACACAAUAACAAUGCGUAGAUUUAGUUCAAAAUGAAGAAGACAUUG